UACGUAGGUGGCGAGCGUUGUCCGGAUUUACUGGGCGUAAAGAGCUCGUAGGCGGCUUGUCACGUCGGGUGUGAAAGCCCGGGGCUUAACCCCGGGUCUGCAUUCGAUACGGGCUAGCUAGAGUGUGGUAGGGGAGACUGGAAUUCCUGGUGUAGCGGUGAAAUGCGCAGAUAUCAGGAGGAACACCGAUGGCGAAGGCAGGUCUCUGGGCCAUAACUGACGCUGAGAAGCGAAAGCAUGGGGAGCGAACAGG
rnacentral:rRNA from 1 species